UACGUAGGGUGCAAGCGUUGUCCGGAUUUAUUGGGUUUAAUGGGUGCGUAGGUGGCUUGUUAAGUCCGGGGUGAAAGCCCACAGCUCAACUGUGGAACUGCCCUGGAUACUGGCGAGCUUGAGUCCAGACGAGGUUGGCGGAAUGGAAGCUGUAGCGGUGAAAUGCAUAGAUAGCUUCCAGAACCCCGAUUGCGUAGGCAGCUGACUAGGCUGGUACUGACACUGAGGCACGAAAGCGUGGGGAGCGAACAGG
rnacentral:rRNA from 1 species